CGUAGGGUGCGAGCGUUAAUCGGAAUUACUGGGCGUAAAGUGUGCGCAGGCGGCCGCGCAAGUCGAGUGUGAAAGCCCCGAGCUUAACUUGGGAACUGCGCUCGAAACUACGUGGCUGGAGUGUGGCAGAGGAAGGUGGAAUUCCAGGUGUAGCGGUGAAAUGCGUAGAGAUCUGGAGGAACACCAAUGGCGAAGGCAGCCUUCUGGGCCAACACUGACGCUCAUGCACGAAAGCGUGGGGAGCAAACAGGAUUAGAUACCCUGGUAGUCCACGCCCUAAACGAUGAUGACUAGUUGUUGGAGGAGUUAAAUCCUUUAGUAACGCAGCUAACGCGUGAAGUCAUCCGCCUGGGGAGUACGGUCGCAAGAUUA
rnacentral:rRNA from 1 species